rnacentral:rRNA from 1 species
GAACGAACGCUGGCGGCAUGCCUAACACAUGCAAGUCGAACGGGAUCUUCGGAUCUAGUGGCGGACGGGUGAGUAACGCGUGGGAACGUGCCCUUUGGUUCGGAAUAGGCCCCGGGAAACUGGGAGUAAUACCGGAUGAGCCCUUCGGGGGGAAAGAUUUAUCGCCAAAGGAUCAGCCCGCGUUGGAUUAGGUAGUUGGUGGGGUAAUGGCCUACCAAGCCGACGAUCCAUAGCUGGGUUUGAGAGGACCGAUCAGACACACUGGAACUGAGACACGGUCCAGACUCCUACGGGAGGCAGCAGUGGGGAAUUUUGGACAAUGGGCGCAAGCCUGAUCCAGCAAUGCCGCGUGCAGGAAGAAGGCCUUCGGGUUGUAAACUGCUUUUGUACGGAACGAAACGGUCUGGGCUAAUACCCCGGGCUAAUGACGGUACCGUAAGAAUAAGCACCGGCUAACUACGUG